GCUUGCUCUCGGGUGACGAGCGGCGGACGGGUGAGUAAUGUCUGGGAAACUGCCUGAUGGAGGGGGAUAACUACUGGAAACGGUAGCUAAUACCGCAUAAUGUCGCAAGACCAAAGUGGGGGACCUUCGGGCCUCAUGCCAUCAGAUGUGCCCAGAUGGGAUUAGCUAGUAGGUGGGGUAACGGCUCACCUAGGCGACGAUCCCUAGCUGGUCUGAGAGGAUGACCAGCCACACUGGAACUGAGACACGGUCCAGACUCCUACGGGAGGCAGCAGUGGGGAAUAUUGCACAAUGGGCGCAAGCCUGAUGCAGCCAUGCCGCGUGUGUGAAGAAGGCCUUCGGGUUGUAAAGCACUUUCAGCGGGGAGGAAGGCGAUAAGGUUAAUAACCUUGUCGAUUGACGUUACCCGCAGAAGAAGCACCGGCUAACUCCGUGCCAGCAGCCGCGGUAAUACGGAGGGUGCAAGCGUUAAUCGGAAUUACUGGGCGUAAAGCGCACGCAGGCGGUCUGUCAAGUCGGAUGUGAAAUCCCCGGGCUCAACCUGGGAACUGCAUUCGAAACUGGCAGGCUAGAGUCUUGUAGAGGGGGGUAGAAUUCCAGGUGUAGCGGUGAAAUGCGUAGAGAUCUGGAGGAAUACCGGUGGCGAAGGCGGCCCCCUGGACAAAGACUGACGCUCAGGUGCGUAAGCGUGGGGAGCAAACAGGAUUAG
rnacentral:rRNA from 1 species